UACGUAGGUGGCAAGCGUUGUCCGGAUUUAUUGGGCGUAAAGAGCGCGCAGGCGGUUUGUUAAGUCCGAGGUGAAAUCUCCCGGCUCAACUGGGAGGGGUCUUCGGAUACUGGCCGACUUGAGGAGGGCAGAGGUGAGUGGAAUUCUCGGUGUAGUGGUGAAAUGCGUAGAUAUCGAGAGGAACACCAGCGGCGAAGGCGG
rnacentral:rRNA from 1 species